CAGUAUGUGAGAAGCCAAGAGUUGGAUCCCUUCAUAACUCAAAGAGCAGGUCAGUGCUGCCCACGGAGGAGCUGCCAUGCUUGGCUGCAGCAGAAGGGAAGGAAUGGAUGGAAACAAUCCCACAUUUCAUCAGGAGAGCUGCCAAAAUGAGCUGACACAAGUACAGCACUGUCUUCUCCCUACAUAUGUCGUGGGUCAUGAGGCAUAGCAGCAUUUGAGCUUCAGAAUGGUGCUUGAAGAGCAUGCUUCACAGGGACAUGAGCAUAAGUAAAGGAGACAGACAUGUUACAGUGAAGAUUUUCAAGGGACUACAAAAGAAGAAUGGGUGGCUUGAUAUGCACAUCUUGAUCAUUCAGGAGCUGGACUCGUAUGACCAUCUAGACUGA
rnacentral:lncRNA from 1 species